CUCCCGGUGGCCAAGCUGGUUUAAGGCGCGAGACUGUAAUGGUAUUAAAAAUUUGUAAUCUUGAGAUCGGGCGUUCGACUCGCCCCCGGGAGA
rnacentral:tRNA from 2 species